GGGUUGUGAGGUUAAGCGACUAAGCGUACACGGUGGAUGCCCUGGCAGUCAGAGGCGAUGAAGGGCGUGCUAAUCUGCGAUAAGCGCCGGUAAGGUGAUAUGAACCGUUAUAACCGGCGAUACCCGAAUGGGGAAACCCAGUGUGAUUCGUCACACUAUCAUUAACUGAAUCCAUAGGUUAAUGAGGCGAACCGGGGGAACUGAAACAUCUAAGUACCCCGAGGAAAAGAAAUCAACCGAGAUUCCCCCAGUAGCGGCGAGCGAACGGGGAGGAGCCCAGAGCCUGAAUCAGCAUGUGUGUUAGUGGAAGCGUCUGGAAAGGCGCGCGAUACAGGGUGACAGCCCCGUACACAAAAGCGCAUGUGCUGUGAGCUCGAUGAGUAGGGCGGGACACGUGGUAUCCUGUCUGAAUAUGGGGGGACCAUCCUCCAAGGCUAAAUACUCCUGACUGACCGAUAGUGAACCAGUACCGUGAGGGAAAGGCGAAAAGAACCCCGGCGAGGGGAGUGAAAAAGAACCUGAAACCGUGUACGUACAAGCAGUGGGAGCACAGGUUUACCUGUGUGACUGCGUACCUUUUGUAUAAUGGGUCAGCGACUUAUAUUCUGUAGCAAGGUUAACCGUAUAGGGGAGCCGGAGGGAAACCGAGUCUUAACCGGGCGUUAAGUUGCAGGGUAUAGACCCGAAACC
rnacentral:rRNA from 1 species